CUUUGUCUCUGACCUAGGCAUCUCUUGUCUUCUUCCAGAACCCAUGACACUAUGGCAGGCCAACUUACUAGCUUUCGAGUAAGGUAACAUCUCAGACCACCACAGGUUUUGACAGGGGAAACUCUGAAGCACCACAGGAGUUGGAGGUUCCAUGUAUCUCUAAGUAGUUACAUACAAUGGGUCCAAAACAGAAGAAAGGGUUAGAACUCAAGAUUCCCAAGCCACAGAGCUGGUGACUGGAGGCGGACUCAGAGAGACCCUGGAUUCAGUGACAUACAGAGACAACAGAAAUUAACAAGCCAAAGUAAAAAGACCUGGAAAUCCUAACAAGCAGUACCUGUCUGAAAUCCCAGUCUUCAUCCUAAUAUGAGGCCCACAGAGAACUUCCAACCAGCCAUGAGUGUUUCAUAUGUACUUAUUAAUGAGAGGCCAGUGGGGAAACGCAGUAUCAUGAAUGAUGUACUCCAGAACAAAUGGAAGCAACGUGAGACCAGAAGAAUACUUCCAGAAACUAUGGUUAAGAUCCUCCGAAAGAGGAAAAAAAAGUUACUGGGUCAUUGAAAUAAUGGGAGGAUGCUGUAAAAAAGAAACAUCCUAAGUAUUAGAAAGAUCCUUCAGAAAUUAAAAAAAAAAAAAAUCAGUAGUUAGAAGGUAAAUUUGAAGGGAUUUCCCAAAACCCAAUAUAAAACCAAAAAGAGAAGCCUUAUAAAAGAGAAAAGUAGUAACAUAAAAGAAUUAUGAAACAAUCUGAACAAUAAAACGACUUCACUUUACAUAUAGUUAAGACUUGCCUAGUCCUUGGCAUAAUGAAAAGAAAAUCAGAAAUACUACCAUUUGAAAUUCCAGAAUAAAAGGGAGAAGACCUUUCUGGUUGUGGCUGAGGAUAAAGGUGGCUGGAACAAGAAGCAGCUCACAAUCAGACUGACCUAAGGAAAGAUGGCCCAGAACUCACCCACAAGCAGUGGAUCAAUGUUUGCACAAUUCUCGGGGGAAAUUAUUUUCUACCCAUUCACAAAGUUACCGUCCAUGCAACAUUCCUCAGAAGAGUCCUGGAGAAUAUUCUCCACCAAAGGAAGGAAGCAGAAUGACCGAGACUGGGAAGACCUGGUCCAGGAAACCAGGGAGUCCACCCAGAAAGAGCAGGAGGGUCUUGGAGGAUGACAGUGAGGGGUUCAGGUGGGCUGCCGUGGCAGGCAGCCCUGUGGGAAUGGGAGGGAGCGCGAGAUCAGGGGCUGUGGCCAUGGAGGCUGGUUAAAGCCAUCCAACCCAUGGAGAGGGCUGUGUGCUUCCAUCCAAGCUGCCAAAAAAACACUACAGUGCUUGGAUGUCAGACAUUAUUUUCUUUCAAAGGGAGUUAAUUGCCUUCUGGACAAACAUAAUCUAUGCGACCUCCUCCCCAAAAGGUACAGGAUCAGUUUGGGUUUUAAUUGACGGGCUCAGCACCAGAGGACAGACUUGACACACACCACCCCCACCCCCACCAUGGAUGCGGUCCAUCCACUGUUGCACAAUGUCCUUCAGUGUCUGACUUACAGAUCCAGCUGUAUUUCCCCUUCCACCUGCGUCCCUGAAGUUUCUCCCACCUGAAAACUUCACCUGACCCAAGAAAGCAAAGGGAAAAAACCCAAAGAGCCAGCUCAUGGUCUGGUUCACUGUGUAACAGCCAGGAGCCAGAGCCUGUGUAUAGAAGUGGAUGCCCAGGAAGUACUUGUGAGCUGACUAAGAAGGUAGUAAUGGCCAGACUAGAGUUGGAACCUGUCUGUCUACUCUCCAAGCUCGGGAUUGACUUGAGCACAAAGACACGCAGCAAUUGAAUUCGAGUUACCUGUGCUUCAUUCUUUAUGGUGCAAUACUCUCUACCUGCAAGUGCAAAUAAUUUUUCCAAUAACAUAUUCUUCUCUUCCACUUCAGAAAUAUGAUUCUCUGUUGGACUUGAGGCUGGGGGAGGCAGUCUUCAUCUCCUGCAGCAUGCUUUUAGAAAAUAAUGUCAUUCUGCACAUAUGUCAGAGGCAGGCAGGAAAAUGAUGGGAAGAAAUGACUUGUCAGGUGUGGACUUCUUCAAAGCAUGAACUGCUUAGAAAUCAGUUGUGGCAAAUAAGCCUGUAAAAGACAGGAAAACACUCCACGCCACUGAAUUCUAUCUGUAAUCAUAUCUGUACGUUCCAAAUGUUCAUGACCCAAAUAUUUUGGAUACCUGUCUCUACUUUUCUUGCUAAGUGCAACUAAAAUCCCUGGAUAUUAUAUGUAAAACAAUCAUAAAAGGACUGUGAGAAUUAGAGAAGAGGCAGACCAGCUAGGGCAUCAGGACCCAAGGGAUGACAUGGUAAUGAGUAUCUUGGGUUUUCUUUUCUUUUCUUUUCAUCCCAGAUUUGGAACUGAAGAAGCUAAAAACUCAGACACACUAAUGCAUGUGAAUUUUAAAAAUUCUCAAAAGAAGCCUACUCUCUCUAGUUAAAGGACAAGAAAAGGGGCAUCCUAACAAGACAGAAUACUUUUAAACAAUAAUCACUCUUUUCUAGCUGAACAGAAUAGAUAAAAUGGUGGACCUGCCUUGCUCACAGAGGCUCAGCAAGGAGCCCUGAAUUCUACCCUUACUGGGCUACAAUAAGGCACCCAUCCCUCAACUAAGGUGGUUUCAGAGUGCUGAUGAGGGAGACAGGAGUUUGAUUUCCUCUAAACAAUAAUGAGCUUCCUGUCCUAAUGAUAUAGUUGGAGACCAUGGGAACAGGUACUCAUACCUGUCCAGCCAGUGCACUAUCUGCAGGAGCCUAGAGGGAAGCUAGAACUCCCUCCCUAUCCAGCAAUGAUUAGGAGACAGCCUCCAAGGGUCAAUAGACACAAGGAUGGAACCUGGACUUCUAUAGCCACCUGGAAGUGAUGAACUCCAACCCCCUUUUCACCAGAGUGCUGGUGAAGAAAGCCAAAACAGACAGCUUAAAUAAGACACACUGUUGCAUAAAAUAGUAUCUGAAAUAUUCAGGUUUCAACUGAAAAACAUUCAGCCCAUUCUACCAAGAACCAGAAAGAUCUCAAACUGAAGGCAAAAAGACAAUCAGUUGACAUCUACAAGAAGACAGAGAUGUUAGAAUUAUGUGGCAAAGAUUUUUAAAAAUAAUAAAAGAUAAAAGCAGUCAUCAUAAAAAUGCUUCA